UAUGUGCACACUCCAACUUCUCCCACCCAAAGAUGUGCCAACCACAGGCCUGCCAAUUACCUAGGCCUGUCCCUCUGCAGGGGGAAGAGGACUACAGCUCUCUAAAUUCUCUGAAACCACCUACUAUAGCUUCUCUGGUCCCCCCACAUUCCUCUGUACCACCUUCCUCUAGUCCCUCAUAUUUUAGUGAUUGUGUUUCAACCUCGGCCAUUUCUGGGCUGACACUUGCCACUACAGGCAUUCUGAGUGACGUGGUUACUAAGCAACCGAGGGAAGCCAUUGCUGUGCGGCUUUUCCCUGGCAGGGCAAUGAAAGGCGGGCGGCAAGUGUGUGUGGCACAAAUUGGCAGAACUGGAGUGUGGAGGACUUCAAUUGUGAAGGAGGACAGACGGACUCGCCUUGAGAAAAACAUGAAGUUGCUGGGCUACAUCAAGGACAGUUUGUUGGCACGGCAACUUCCUCGUGCCGUGCUAACGAAGAACGCUUUGGCAGAAGGCCGGCGCCAACUGUUUGUGUUGCUCUGUUUAUUAAAAUGCUUGCUGAGGGC